rnacentral:rRNA from 1 species
CGGCGUGCCUAAUACAUGCAAGUCGAACGAACUCUGGUAUUGAUUGGUGCUUGCAUCAUGAUUUACAUUUGAGUGAGUGGCGAACUGGUGAGUAACACGUGGGAAACCUGCCCAGAAGCGGGGGAUAACACCUGGAAACAGAUGCUAAUACCGCAUAACAACUUGGACCGCAUGGUCCGAGCUUGAAAGAUGGCUUCGGCUAUCACUUUUGGAUGGUCCCGCGGCGUAUUAGCUAGAUGGUGGGGUAACGGCUCACCAUGGCAAUGAUACGUAGCCGACCUGAGAGGGUAAUCGGCCACAUUGGGACUGAGACACGGCCCAAACUCCUACGGGAGGCAGCAGUAGGGAAUCUUCCACAAUGGACGAAAGUCUGAUGGAGCAACGCCGCGUGAGUGAAGAAGGGUUUCGGCUCGUAAAACUCUGUUGUUAAAGAAGAACAUAUCUGAGAGUAACUGUUCAGGUAUUGACGGUAUUUAACCAGAAAGCCACGGCUAACUACGUGCCAGCAGCCGCGGUAAUACGUAGGUGGCAAGCGUUGUCCGGAUUUAUUGGGCGUAAAGCGAGCGCAGGCGGUUUUUUAAGUCUGAUGUGAAAGCCUUCGGCUCAACCGAAGAAGUGCAUCGGAAACUGGGAAACUUGAGUGCAGAAGAGGACAGUGGAACUCCAUGUGUAGCGGUGAAAUGCGUAGAUAUAUGGAAGAACACCAGUGGCGAAGGCGGCUGUCUGGUCUGUAACUGACGCUGAGGCUCGAAAGUAUGGGUAGCAAACAGGAUUAGAUACCCUGGGUAGUCCAUACCGUAAACGAUGAAUGCUAAGUGUUGGAGGGUUUCCGCCCUUCAGUGCUGCAGCUAACGCAUUAAGCAUUCCGCCUGGGGAGUACGGCCGCAAGGCUGAAACUCAAAGGAAUUGACGGGGGCCCGCACAAGCGGUGGAGCAUGUGGUUUAAUUCGAAGCUACGCGAAGAACCUUACCAGGUCUUGACAUACUAUGCAAAUCUAAGAGAUUAGACGUUCCCUUCGGGGACAUGGAUACAGGUGGUGCAUGGUUGUCGUCAGCUCGUGUCGUGAGAUGUUGGGUUAAGUCCCGCAACGAGCGCAACCCUUAUUAUCAGUUGCCAGCAUUAAGUUGGGCACUCUGGUGAGACUGCCGGUGACAAACCGGAGGAAGGUGGGGAUGACGUCAAAUCAUCAUGCCCCUUAUGACCUGGGCUACACACGUGCUACAAUGGAUGGUACAACGAGUUGCGAACUCGCGAGAGUAAGCUAAUCUCUUAAAGCCAUUCUCAGUUCGGAUUGUAGGCUGCAACUCGCCUACAUGAAGUCGGAAUCGCUAGUAAUCGCGGAUCAGCAUGCCGCGGUGAAUACGUUCCCGGGCCUUGUACACACCGCCCGUCACACCAUGAGAGUUUGUAACACCCAAAGUCGGUGGGGUAACCUUUUAGGAACCAGCCGCCUAAGGUGGGACCUAGAUGAUUAGGGUGAAGUCGUAACA